CCCGCCGGCGACCGGCGCACGGGUGAGUAACACGUACGCAACCUGGCCGCCACAGGGGGAUAACCCGCGGAAACGCGGCCUAAUACCCCGUGACGCCACCGGAGGGCAUCCUCCGGGUGGCCAAAGGAGCGAUCCGGUGGCGGAUGGGCAUGCGGCGCAUUAGCUAGACGGCGGGGUGACGGCCCACCGUGGCGACGGAUGCGUAGGGGUUCUGAGAGGAAGGUCCCCCACACUGGUACUGAGACACGGACCAGACUCCUACGGGAGGCAGCAG
rnacentral:rRNA from 1 species